AAAGAAGACAAGAAACAGCAAGAGAAAGAUGAUGGUUUAGAUCUCAAUCUCACCCUAUAAAGUGUUCCAUCUCAGUUUACUAAAUGAUGCCUAAUGGGAUUGCAACACUUGCUCUUUUUUCUUUGUUUGAUUAAUUUAAUGUUUAACCUUCUUGUCGUGUACUGAAAUAUGAAUUUCCUGCUUCAAUUGACAUCGGCCUGCCAUGUAAAACUGAAAAAUCCUUUUGUUCUUACGAGAAGAGAAAUUUGAA
rnacentral:misc_RNA from 1 species